rnacentral:lncRNA from 1 species
UUACAACUACUCUUAGAACUAUUAACCCUGAGAGAGAAUUGAAAACUGGAUAAAAAGAACCCCCACAACAAGGGACAGUGUUGACCAAGGUGGAAGAGGCAGAAAUUACUUUCUGGAGAGAAAAACGCCAACUUCUAGCUGUGGUGCUUCAUGGCUGGGAGCAAUCCUAAGCCUCCUUGGUUGUUUCCUGUGGUCCACAGGGAGUUGAAGCUGACCUGCUGCCCAACCAUCUCUCUGUUGCACCUCCCAUCUACCACCACCACCACACCACAAAGGCCAGGGGCCAUGGCUGCAGGCAGAGAGGACGCCACGGAAAGCAAGACCUGGAGAGAAAGACUGCUGUGACUGAUACUUAAGCAUUUUUCUGUCCUUGUCAUGCAUGAUCCCGAGCAUUUGGGGAACUCCAAGAUAAAACAUGGCUCCUGCUUUCAGAAGCCUUCUAAUUUGAAUGGGGAGACGAGGCACGAACACAAUCGUUUCAAGGCAACAUUGUGUGUGAAAAAACGCUACAAGAGAGAAACAAAUGAAGAGAGAAUUUCUUCCAUGAGCACUAAUUCAUUCACCUACAGAUAGGUGCUAAGGCCCCACGCCACGUGAGGCCCUGCAGGACACCACGGCGCGUGAGGAGGGUCUGGGGUCUGUCUUCCUGGAGCUUCGGGCUGAGAUAGACGGGCACAGCCGAGCCAGCAAUACAGCAGAAGAGGGCAGACGCUGCGGUUCCCUGAGGCGCUUCUCCGAGGACACUUCCUCAGCUCCCAGAAGCCUCCCCGCAUCCAGUUUCCUUCAGAAAUCAGCUUUCAGUCCACACAGCCCAGUCUCUCAGUGACCAGCCACGAUCCUCGCCCUUCAUCUCUCAGGAUCCCCGCUCUGGACGUGGCUUCUGAGACGGCCACUGGUCCUGUUCGUAGAAGAGAGACAUGGAGACUGGGUAUUUGUAAAGCAUCUGCCAACUGCUGGGCUCGGUCACCGGCUUUG